rnacentral:ncRNA from 2 species
GGCGCGCUUCGCGACUGGCGCUGAAGAUGGGCAUCCAUCGGGAAACGAGGCGGACCGACAGGUCGACAGGAGCCGCGCGCCUGGGUGAUCCAC